CAAAAUAUAGUAGAAACAGGUGUUUCACUCUCUCAAUCGAGAGGAGACUUAAUAGGGAAACGCGGUGCAAAACCGCUGCGGUCCCGCCACUGUAACCGGAUGUUCCAGCCGCCAGAUGCCGCUGGAGCAGCAUCCACCGGCAACAAGCCACUAAGGGGCUGCGAGGCCCCUCGGGAAGGCGCCGGAGGGCAUACCGGAAGCCAGGAGACCUGCCUGUUUCUGUGGCACCAUU
rnacentral:ncRNA from 23 species